GGCCGGCUGGCCCAAUGGUAAGGCGCUUGACUACGAAUCAAGAGAUUGCAGGUUCGAGCCCUGCGUCGGUCA
rfam:Aspergillus clavatus NRRL 1 1099423829791 genomic scaffold, whole genome shotgun sequence.